rnacentral:lncRNA from 1 species
UAAUAUCAAAAAUGACGAUAAGAUUACAAUUGCAAAAGCACAUAUAAUUCUAGUUUUCAUGGUGUUUCCAAAUUUGCAAGGAAAGGAAAAGGCUUUUUGUACAAAGCUCCAAAAUUCUUGCCUUCCCUGAUGAAGAGGUAAUCUAGAAUUGAACCAUGGCCUCAUGCUGCACACGCGCAGGCCCUCCGAUGACCAAACGGACAAGAACAUCACCGCUUCUGUCUGCAUUUGGACUACUUGAUUAGGCGGCAUAUAUAUCCACCACCCAAAUAAAGGCUAAACAACAUUAAAUUUCAAAAGUUAAUUUCAACUCAUCUUUCUCCUCUCAUAAUCUAAUUAUCAAGUAAACUAAUUUUUCAUUAACAGAUCUCGAAAUUGAC